GAUGAACGCUGGCGGCGUGCCUAAUACAUGCAAGUCGAGCGAACAGACGAGGAGCUUGCUCCUCUGACGUUAGCGGCGGACGGGUGAGUAACACGUGGAUAACCUACCUAUAAGACUGGGAUAACUUCGAGAAACCGGAGCUAAUACCGGAUAAUAUAUUGAACCGCAUGGUUCAAUAGUGAAAGACGGUUUUGCUGUCACUUAUAGAUGGAUCCGCGCCGCAUUAGCUAGUUGGUAAGGUAACGGCUUACCAAGGCGACGAUGCGUAGCCGACCUGAGAGGGUGAUCGGCCACACUGGAACUGAGACACGGUCCAGACUCCUACGGGAGGCAGCAGUAGGGAAUCUUCCGCAAAGGGCGAAAGCCUGACGGAGCAACGCCGCGUGAGUGAUGAAGGUCUUCGGAUCGUAAAACUCUGUUAUUAGGGAAGAACAAAUGUGUAAGUAACUAUGCACGUCUUGACGGUACCUAAUCAGAAAGCCACGGCUAACUACGUG
rnacentral:rRNA from 1 species